rnacentral:misc_RNA from 1 species
UCCGAGUUGUCCCCGGCAGUCCUCUUAGAGUCCCCGGCAUUACCCGCUGGCAACAUAGAACGAGGGUUGCGCUCGUUGCGGGACUUAACCCAACAUCUCACGACACGAGCUGACGACAACCAUGCACCACCUGUGCAGGACCCUUGCGGACCUCCCAUCUCUGGGAGAUUUCCCUGCAUGUCAAGCCUCGGUAAGGUUCUUCGCGUUGCGUCGAAUUAAGCCACAUGCUCCGCUGCUUGUGCGGGCCCCCGUCAAUUCCUUUGAGUUUUAACCUUGCGGCCGUACUCCCCAGGCGGAGUGCUUAAUGCGUUAGCUGCGACACCUAAGCCCUAAGGACCCCGACGUCUAGCACUCAUCGUUUACGGCGUGGACUAC